rnacentral:rRNA from 1 species
AACGAACGCUGGCGGCAUGCCUAACACAUGCAAGUCGAACGAUGCCUUCCGGUCUAGUGGCGCACGGGUGCUUAACGCGUGGUAACCUGCACUUGGGUUCGCAAUCCCUCCCCGAAGGAGGUGCUAAUACCGCAUAGUCUCUUCCUACCAACGAUGUAUCGCCUUUGGAUGGGCUCGCGUUAGAUUAGCUGGUUGGUAGUGUAAAAGCCUACCAAGGCGACGAUCCUUAGCUGGUCUGAGAGGAUGACCAGCAACACUGGGAAUGAGACACGGCCCAGAAUGGGACGGGAGGGAGCAGUGGGGAAUAUUGGACAAGGGGGGAAAGUGUGACGAAGCAAUGUCGGGUGAGAGAUGAAGGGGGUAGGGAUGUAAUGUUAGCAUAGAAGGGACGAUAAUGACAGUACCGGGAGAAUAAGCUCCGGCUAACUACGUG